rnacentral:rRNA from 1 species
GUUUGAUCCUGGCUCAGAUUGAACGCUGGCGGCAUGCUUUACACAUGCAAGUCGAACGGCAGCACGGGAGCAAUCCUGGUGGCGAGUGGCGAACGGGUGAGUAAUGCAUCGGAACGUGCCCAGUCGUGGGGGAUAACGCAGCGAAAGCUGCGCUAAUACCGCAUACGAUCUAUGGAUGAAAGCGGGGGACCGUAAGGCCUCGCGCGAUUGGAGCGGCCGAUGUCAGAUUAGGUAGUUGGUGGGGUAAAGGCUCACCAAGCCAACGAUCUGUAGCUGGUCUGAGAGGACGACCAGCCACACUGGGACUGAGACACGGCCCAGACUCCUACGGGAGGCAGCAGUGGGGAAUAUUGCACAAUGGGCGAAAGCCUGAUGCAGCGACGCCGCGUGAGGGAUGACGGCCUUCGGGUUGUAAACCUCUUUCAGUAGGGAAGAAGCGAAAGUGACGGUACCUGCAGAAGAAGCACCGGCUAACUACGUGCCAGCAGCCGCGGUAAUACGUAGGGUGCGAGCGUUAUCCGGAAUUAUUGGGCGUAAAGAGCUCGUAGGCGGUUUGUCGCGUCUGUCGUGAAAGUCCGGGGCUUAACCCCGGAUCUGCGGUGGGUACGGGCAGACUAGAGUGCAGUAGGGGAGACUGGAAUUCCUGGUGUAGCGGUGGAAUGCGCAGAUAUCAGGAGGAACACCGAUGGCGAAGGCAGGUCUCUGGGCUGUAACUGACGCUGAGGAGCGAAAGCAUGGGGAGCGAACAGGAUUAGAUACCCUGGUAGUCCAUGCCGUAAACGUUGGGCACUAGGUGUGGGGACCAUUCCACGGUUUCCGCGCCGCAGCUAACGCAUUAAGUGCCCCGCCUGGGGAGUACGGCCGCAAGGCUAAAACUCAAAGGAAUUGACGGGGGCUCACAC